rnacentral:tRNA from 1 species
GAUUCAGUGGUGUAGAGGUAUCAUGGGCGCUUGCCAUUUCACAAAAAAAUGUGCGCCCGACCCGGGUUCGAUUCCCGGCUGAAUCA